ensembl:lncRNA
CAGAAAAUUAAAUUUCCAGAGACUUGGUGAAGAUAGGAAAACUAUCAGAAAGACUAUAGCACUAUUGUACUGUAAUCUAGGAUUUGAUAUGGCCCAAAUUAAGAGAUCUUGCUUAUUAUCUUAGAUUGGAGUAACUUGUGUUGAGAGAGAAAAACGCUAUUUCAUCCAGACCUCUGCUCUGUUUUCUCAACGAUGAAGAGCACUGCUUUUUUCAUAUCACAGGAGAGCCCGGUUUCAGCCUAAGUAGACAUUUACCUCUUCUGUUGAAAUAUAUCCUCUGGCCUUGUCUACCUAAAUUAGAGUGAGAUUUAACAUGCUGAGGGAAGGGGACUCUUCAGAAAGGCAUGUCAAACCUUUUCCUCUUUUAUUUCCUUUUGAAUUAUUAGCAGAAAUGGUGAAAAUUUUGUUAGGAAAAAGGGAAACUAAGGAUUUGCCAUAUGGAAUGAAAUGAAUUAGUAUAUGAUAAUACUUGGCAUGAAGUUUAAAUCAUUGUGGGGCCAAAAAUUGAUGACUACUUACACAUUCUUGUGGGGUUUAAUUCUCAAAUUAGUUAAUAUGUUAGCUAAAAAUGAUUAAGAUUAAAUUUUCCACUGCUAAGGUAAAGGUCUGAAUUCUGUAUAGGGUGCAGUAAUUCUGUUAAGAGUUGUGCCUGUGAAGAGCAUGUGGGGCUCCUUUUGAUGGGUGAUCUGGGGCCGGAUUGGCUGGAGGUGGGCCUCUGCAUGCCUGCUGUCCUGCCUCAGUUCUCUUUAGCACCCGUCUAUUAUUUUGUUUUUGUUCCCAGGCAAAUGACUAUAAAAUUCCCCGUUUAAAACAAAAAAAACUUUUAAAUAUAUGUUCGUGUAGGUCAGAAAUCCAGUAUGGGUCUCCCCAGACUGAGACAAGGUGUGAGAAAAGUCAGUUUCCUGUUCUUUUAGUCUGUUGGCAAAAUUAAAUUCUCGGGGGUUAUAGGACGUAGGUCUCUGUUUUCUUGUCUGUAAACUGCGAGCCCAUUCCACCUUCUUUGGGAGCUGCAUCUUGGCUCAUGGACCCCUACUUCCAAUUUCAAAGCCAGCAACAGCAGUUCGAAUCCUUCUCAUUGGCACCUCUCUUGACUCUCCUUCUCUCAUUGCAUCUUUUCUUCUGAUUCAUGUGAUUAGGUUCAGCUCAGGAUAAUCUAGGAUAAUCUCACCAGCUCGAGGUCCAUAACUUUAAUCGCAUUUUCAAAGUCCCCUUUGCUGUGUUAGGCAAAAGAUUCCAGGGAUUAAGACGUGGGCAUAUUUGGGGGCUGUUGGUGCAUUAUUCAGCCUUCCACACCUCCUUUUCACUCCUCAGAAUGUCCCAGUUUCACCAUCCAAUCUGAGUAGCCAGUUGAAGUAUUUAAAAUAGGAAUAAAAACUAAAACUCAGGUUUCUCCCUCCCUUUUAAAUUUAUGUUUCAGUUCUUUCCCUUUUUGUUUCCUCUCCUGCUUCCCUUUCAUACCUUUGCAAAGGUCAUGAAUCGUUUUCCUGGCUCACUUGUUAGAAGUCAGUGAGUGGGAAGUGUCUGUCAGUCCUCUUCUGUCCAUUAUUUAUGGAUAAAGGAGCCACAUGUUUUAUGGUGUGGUGGCUUCCAUCACUCUUUUAGUCUUUUGCUUUUGAAGCCUGUGACUCUCAUGUUCCUCAGUGUUUAGUGACAAGGUAGCCAGUGAAUCCUGAGGGUGUGGCAUCUAAAUUUGUGCUGCUGCUUGUGCUUGAGCCUGUCCUUAGACCGUUACAUGGGAAGAGGAGGAAGAGGAGGAAUUAAGACCGGGUUUUUUCUCCCUCUGCAUUUAGGCUCUAUUUUGUACCAGAAAGAUAGCUGGGCAUUACAUUUAUUUAAAUAGCUGCUGAUUUUUUUCAGAGGGCAUGGUUUUAUAUUCUAGAGACAAUUUUACUAAUACAACUGCAUUUUUAUCAAGUUAAGUACUUGAAUGUUUUUAUUUCACAUUUUGAAAUUUUUUAUUUAUUAGAUUAAAUUACAUUAAUUGAAGAAAACAGUUGUGUGUCUUACGUGUAUCUAAAGACCAAAUUGCCGUUUCUAUCUACUCUUCAACUUAAAUUUGUAGUUUGGAACAUUGCCAACAGCAGAAAAUAUAAUUUAUAUUCAAAUGGAUUAAUUUGUUCCUUGGACAAUUUAAAAAAAGACUAAUUUAUGAUUUUUAAUGCUGUAUCUUAUUUUAAUAAGCUAAGUAGAUAUUUGAUACUUGCUAAUUUAUAUAUACUUGAGUCCUUAAUUUAAUCGUGAAUCCAUCAGAGUUUAGAUUUAGUUAAGUAAUGCAUAAGAUCUAAAACCAGUGCUACAUACUUCUAAAGUUCAUUUCUUUUUUUUCCCAUUCACAAUGCCAGUUUUACACUCCAUUUGCUGUCAGUGGAAAUGCAGGCGGCAGACACAGACAUAUUUAUCAUCACUGAGUUCACUGGAUCAUACAGGAAAAGUACAUUAAGAUGCCAUACAGAAAGUCUAACACACAUAAACAACCACUUAGCAUUUUUAAGAACAUAUCUGACUUAUUGAUCAGCUUAAAUAUCUUUCAUUCGAGCGUGUUACCCACGUGGAGCGCAUGCAUUCACGUACUUAUCUAAGCAAGAGCUGCUUGUGCUGAUGAAUGAGCACAUCUCCCCUUUAUGUAUCACCACGGAGAUCAAACCUUAGAAGGCUUUCCCCCUUCCAUCGGAAUCCCUAAAUCUUGUCACAAUUAAAUUAUUCUCGGGGUUCUUUAGAUAAGGUGCACUCCGGAAGAUAGCUGUAGAACACCUGAUUUUACACUGACAUUUGUGUUUGGUGUUCUGAGCCUCUUUUCCUGAAAUUUGUGUUGCUGUUUGUUGUUCUAGGCCCAGUGGCAGAUGCGGUGGGGAAUGGGGACUCUUCUUAAUUUCUCUUUUACUUAUGAACUCUUACGUUCUUCUAUAAAUGCUACCCUAGUAAAUUAGCCUCACCUCAGAUUGUGUGUAUGUUUAAAAAAUAUGUGCAAUAACUGUUAGAUUUUUUUUUUCUAAUUGGAGUAUAUUAUCAAAAUUAGGAAAUAGCAAAAUAUAAUACCUAGUUUACAUGGAUACCAACCUAAACCUUAGAAAACAGUAAUAAGAAAUAAUACAGAUAUGAAAAAAAUAGGGGGAGUAAUUUAUUUAAAGGAUAAAGAACAGAUGAGUAUGUUUUCAUUUUAGGCCUUUAUGGGCAUUUUAUGUGCGUUCUAGAUUUGAGACAUUUUAAGAGAAAAAUGUCCUAGCCUUUUCUUUUAGUGAAACAAUACAACUGGAAGUUAUGUGUUUAAAAGUUUUAUGGUUUCCUCAGAUAAAUACUUUAUGUCCUAAUAUUUUCUCUCUCUAAAACAAAAAAGAGAAACAGAAUAGUUGCAAAUUAUGAUUCCUUGCAUACUUUCUAUGACCCUGUGCAGUUGGGUAAGGUUUUGUGUCCUCCUUUCUUGAAUCAUUCCUUUUGGACUGAACUAGCUCAUGGCGCCAGUCAAGCUGUUUCAUUUUAUUGUUGUUAAUUUCCAUAGAUAUGUUUUUAGAAUUUGUAAACGGGUGUGGUAUAGUCUUCAUUUCUGCUCUUUACUCAUCCUUUCCCUUCCUCUUCCAGAUUUGCACUAUUACUUCUUCAUCAUGCAAUCUAAAAUCUGUAGCUUCAGGAGUUCCCAUUGUGGCUCAGCAGGUUAAGGAUUCGAUGUUGUCUCUGUGAGGAUGCAGGUUCAAUUCCUGGCCUUGCCCAAUAGGUUAAGGAUCCAGCAUUUCUGCAAGCUGUGACAUCAGUUGCAGAUGCAGUUCGGAUCCUGUGUUGCCAUGGCUGUAGGCCACAGCUGCAGCUAUGAUUCUACCCAUGGCCUGGGAACUUCCAUAUGCCACAGGUGUGGCAAGUAAAAAAAAAAAAAAAUCUGGAGUUCUGCUGUGGGUACAAUAGGAUUGGUGGGAUCUCUGUAGCAUCAGGAUGCAGGUUUGAUCCCUGGCCCGGCACAGCGAGUUAAAAGAUCUGGUGUUGCCACGGGUGUGGCAUAGUUCGAAACUGGCUUGGAUCUUAUCCCUGGCCCAGGAACUUCAUAUGCCUUGGGGUGACCCCC